UACGUAGGGACCAAGCGUUGUUCGGAUUUACUGGGCGUAAAGGGCGCGUAGGCGGCGCGGUAAGUCACUUGUGAAAUCUCUGAGCUUAACUCAGAACGGCCAAGUGAUACUGCAGUGCUAGAGUGUGGAAGGGGCAAUCGGAAUUCUUGGUGUAGCGGUGAAAUGCGUAGAUAUCAAGAGGAACACCUGAGGUGAAGACGGGUUGCUGGGCCAACACUGACGCUGAGGCGCGAAAGCGUGGGGAGCAAACGGG
rnacentral:rRNA from 1 species